rnacentral:tRNA from 3 species
GGGCAUGUGGCGAAAUGGCAGACGCGCUACGUUCAGGUCGUAGUUCCCUCACGGGAUUGGAGGUUCAAGUCCUCUCAUGCCCACCA